AGCUCCAAUAGCGUAUGUCAAAGUUUUUGCAUAGAAAAAGCUCGUAGUCGGAUUUCUGCCGAGGACGACCGGUUCCCCCACUGGGUAAGUAUCUGGCUCGGCCUGGGCAUCUUCUUGGAGAACGUAACUGCACUUGACUGUGUGGUGCGGUAUCCAAAACUUUUACUUUGAGGAAAUUAAUAUGUUUCAAGGAGGCACACGCCCUGAAUACAUUAGCAUGGAACCAUGAUAGGACAUCGGUUCUAUUUUGUUGGUUUCUAAUCCUGAAGUAAGGAUUCCUCGGGAUAGUUUGGGGCAUUCGUAUUUAACUGUCAGAGGUGCAUUCCUUGGAUUUGUGACUACUGCGAAAGCAUUUGCCCAAGGAUGUUUUCC
rnacentral:rRNA from 1 species